rnacentral:rRNA from 1 species
CACGUAGGGCGCAAGCGUUUGUCCGGAAUUAUUGGGCGUAAAGAGCUCGUAGGCGGUCUGUUGCGUCCGCUGUGAAAACUCGGGGCUUAACCCCGAGCCUGCAGUGGAUACGGGCAGACUAGAGGUAGGUAGGGGGAGAAUGGAAUUCCCGGUGUAGCGGUGAAAUGCGCAGAUAUCGGGAGGAACACCGGUGGCGAAGGCGGUUCUCUGGGCCUUGACCUGACGCUGAGGAGCCGAAAGGCGUGGGGAGCGAACAGGAU